AACGUGCUCCUGUCCAGCGAUGGGAGCCACGCAGCCCUCUGUGACUUUGGCCAUGCUGUGUGUCUUCAACCUGAUGGCCUGGGAAAGUCCUUGCUCACAGGGGACUACAUCCCUGGCACAGAGACCCACAUGGCUCCGGAGGUGGUGCUGGGCAGGAGCUGCGACGCCAAGGUGGAUGUCUGGAGCAGCUGCUGUAUGAUGCUGCACAUGCUCAACGGCUGCCACCCCUGGACUCAGUUCUUCCGAGGGCCGCUCUGCCUCAAGGUCGGUGACGGCACCCAGCAUGGCCAACAGGGGGAGCUGCAGGGCCCUGGGGCCCAGGCUGCAGGCUGGAGGGGCUGCUCUGCGGUGGCAGAUGGAGCAAGGGGAGGCCUGGUCAUCCAUGUGGGAUCCUAAUUCAAAUACUUGCCACCCAAAUCUGGGGGUACAAGGGGAGAUCCAGCUGCGGAGGCUCACCAAGUUCAUGGCAGGUGAGAACUCUCUUCUGUCCAUACCCUGGGCCCCAUCCACCUGCCUCCUAACGGGCCGGGCCUGGAGGCUGUGGGCGUCUUGCUGCCUGGCUCUGGCCUG
rnacentral:lncRNA from 1 species